rnacentral:rRNA from 1 species
UACAGAGGGUGCAAGCGUUAAUCGGAAUUACUGGGCGUAAAGCGCAUGUAGGUGGUUUAUUUAGUCUAAUGUGAAAUCUUCGGGCUUAACCUGGGGGCUGCAUUAGAUACGGAUAGACUAGAGGUGGACGAAGGAUGGUGGAAUUUCCGGUGUAGCGGUGAAAUGCGUAGAUAUCGGAAGGAAUGCCAGUGGCGAAAGCGACUGUCUAGGUCCAAUCUGACACUGAGAUGCGAAAGCGUGGGGAGCAAACAGG